rnacentral:rRNA from 1 species
UGGUCCCACGGGAGGCAGCAGUGAGGAAUAUUGGUCAAUGGGCGCGAGCCUGAACCAGCCAAGUAGCGUGAAGGAUGACUGCCCUACGGGUUGUAAACUUCUUUUAUAAAGGAAUAAAGUGAGGCACGUGUGCCUUUUUGUAUGUACUUUAUGAGUAAGGAUCGGCUAACUCCGUGCCAGCAGCCGCGGUAAUACGGAGGAUCCGAGCGUUAUCCGGAUUUAUUGGGUUUAAAGGGUGCGUAGGCGGUCUGUUAAGUCAGCGGUAAAAUUGCGGGGCUCAACCCCGUCGAGCCGUUGAAACUGGC